UACGUAGGUGGCGAGCGUUGUCCGGAUUUACUGGGCGUAAAGCGCGCGCAGGCGGUCGUGCAAGUCGCGUGUGAAAGCCCCCGGCUCAACUGGGGAGGGUCACGCGAUACUGCUCGACUCGAAGGCAGGAGAGGGAAGUGGAAUUCCCGGUGUAGUGGUGAAAUGCGUAGAUAUCGGGAGGAACACCAGUGGCGAAGGCGACUUCCUGGCCUGUUCUUGACGCUGAGGCGCGAAAGCUAGGGUAGCAAACGGG
rnacentral:rRNA from 1 species